UGAUCGAAGGAUCGACGCAGGCCGACCAAGGAUGGAUGGCCAGGGACAGUCGCAGGAUGCGACUACUUCAUCAGGACGAUGAACUCAGGGACGACACGAAGCGGCGAGGCUAACCCCUCGCCGUUUUU
rnacentral:sRNA from 1 species